CACUUUAACAAAAAUUCAACGAACUGAUGAAAGGAAGAGGUCUUUAAAAAGUGCCAAUCUGCUUCCACUUCAGUCAGCUGAGCUGCUGCCAGCAGAGCCAUUCAUGGGGGAGUUUCUGUGAGGAAGCCCUGAAAUAAGCUGGAACUCUGCUUGGGGAAGGAGACAUUUUUGAUGAACAUCCACGUUCACAGAAGCCUGCGAACCCUUUCACAGGGUCUUUGAACAAGGCUGGGAAGAGGAGGAUGCAGAGAACGGGUUGGUGGGAGGAAAACUGUGACGGGAGCUGGAGACAGAGCGUGCAGAGCAGGAGGGAGGUACCGCAUCUGCAGGCGCAGUCCAAGGAGCGUGGAGGUCUGCCCAGGAAGGAAGAGCUGCGAGCAGCUCAGCAGAGAUGGAGGAGGAAGCAGCUCUGACGGAAACGAUGACCUGGAUUCUCAGAUCACUGAAUUGCAGGAAGACUUAGUGUCUAAUUGAGCAGCCAGCAAAAAAAACAGUAGAAAAGCAAACUAGAGCCUGAUGAGAAACUGUAAGUCCUUCACCCAGCAGCAAAGCUUUCUGGAAGGAGAAAAAGGAUGGCACUGUCUGAGAAAACAGUUUUGAGGUCAAGCUGGACAACAGCAGAGUCUUUCCAAAGCACUGGGAAAGGAAUCUAGUUGAGCCAGCAGAAAGUUCCUCAGCUGAACAAUAUAUAGGAGCAGGUCCAGGAGGCAAAUCUCAACAUGUGGUGAAGGCAGUCACAUUGCCCUGGAAAUGCAAAGGACAAAGCAAUUGUCCCCUAACUCUGUGGACAUUCCUCCUACGUUACCAAGGCUACGCAGCUUCAAAAGCAUCUGGAGAUACUAAAGCUGGAGCCCUGUGCAACCCCAAGGAAGAUGUCCAGAAGUACUGAGUGAUCCACUAGCUGUCAUCAAGAGACAGACAGACAUAGCGAGGUCUCCAGUGCAUCCUUGGGUACCCUCUCUGCUCUUCAGCUGCUGCUCCUGCAUGGCCCAGUCUCCUGAGGUCCUACACUGUGUCUGGCAGCUCUGUGCAGUUUCAGAAACCUUGGGGUGUCUAAAGUGGAGGGUAGGCAAACUGGGCCCUGCUUACCUGCAGCCAUACUGCCAGCCUGUCCUCCACUUUCUAUGAGCCCUUCCUUGUCUUCUUCUUUGGCUUCCAUCCGGGCCUUGGUAGCAUACCAAGAAGUUGCAAAUGAUCUCCAAAACCUCAAGCAUUUCAGUAGAGUUGUAGCUGUCGGCAAGAGUCCAUGCUAAAGCUGCAGCUACCGCAGCAGUGAAGCAAGUGGAGAGGGCUGAUGGUGCUGGGUCUGAGUGCUGCACAGCUUGCUGUGACACUGGGAGAGCAUCUCCUCCCUCUGCUCCAGAGGAAAGAGCUGGAAGGAAAAUGAUCAUGUGUGAUCAUUGUGUUCAUCUGAGAGAGAAUUUAAUUUGUUUGUGGAUUCAGCUGCCCAGUGCAAGCAAUAUUUGUAAGCACUGGCAGGUAAGGGCAGGACACGGUGUCUCUUUGCUUCUACUGGUUAUCCAGCGUCCCCAGGUGAGUGAGGGCAGGGGUCUAAAUGGGAUAGUCCAGUGGAGGGUGGCCCAUGAGGGAAGGCCUUUCAUGAGCUGAGAAGUCCUUGUAACUUCCUUCAUCCCUAAUUUUAGGAUAAAUCCAUUAGCAGGUUUGGCUUUUUCCCUGUGCCUUUCCUUCUCCCCUCUCUCCCUGCUAGUCUCUUUACACAGUCAGGUGGGUAACGCUUCCCUGACUACAGAAGUCAACCAGAAAGAAAACAGACAUUGGAAACCCACUGUCACUUGGAAGGUUGUUCAUGGUGCGGGUAUAAACCAGACGCAGCUUUAACAACAAAGCACAUUUUUUUUUCUCCUGUGGCUGCUUCUCCUAUCAGUAAUGGAAACAAGAAAGUGGUGCCCUCUCCGAGCACGUUAUCCUGACUCCCCGGAGUGGCAGCGACGGUCCUGGAGCGCAGCGCGUGGGUGACCCUUAGCGGGUCUAACGCCUUGCCUGCCGGCCAUGGAACCGGCACGCAGCUGUGACCGGUGCCUGUGGCAGCAGCCGGGGCUGACCCCAGGGCUGUUAAAACCAGCAGCUGGCAUCAGAGGAACACAUACAGGAAAGGUCUGUGUGGCUAUUUUUGAAGAGGAAAGACAGAAGAACUUGUUGAUAGCAAGGAGAGUUUGAAGAUGAGUUCAACAACAGAUAUUCAGAUGUGAAGAAGAAAUUCUGUAGUAGGCAGCAGUAAGACAAGCUGUUCUAUAUAGGAAACAUCUAAAUAAAAAUGGGAGUUGAUAGUAACAGCAAAGAGAGAGACAGUUGUUUUUUGGUUUUUUUUUCCAGAGGUUUGGAACGAAAGCAGAGAAAAUUGAUAUAGAGAAAACCAGGAAUAUAGACCUGCCAGUAUCCUCCAGGCCAGCAACGCCACAAAAUGGCAUUUGGAAACUAGACAUGUACCAGAAGCUUUCUCAAACACUGGGAAUCAAGAAAGAGGUGGUCACAAAUCUAACUUCAAAAUAUAUUCAGGAUACUGUUUCAGUGGACAGUGAGGAUAAAGAGCUGGAAAUCUGGAGUCCAAAUACAUGGAUAACAGGACAAUACCACGUGCAAAAAGCUCCUAAAAAACCCACUGCAAACAGGCUUAAAAAAUACUUGGUAAUGUACUGAUCUCGGGGUCCAGAGGUGUCACUUGAAAAUAAUGAAGUGCUGUCUCACUUUUGCUGACUCGAGAACACACUUGCAAAUUAUUCCAGGCUGUAUUAACAAGCAUGUGUGGACCUGAGAUUACAGCAAUGCCAAUUACAACACAUGCCAAACUAGCAGCCAAACGUGGGCUCAGGAGUCACAGGGGGUAGGGGAAGAGUAUAGGGCACGUUAAGCUAUGAGACCGCUUUGUUGUAAAAAUAUGAGCAAAAUUUGGAAGCACAUGAGAACUGCUAGCAUUUUGCUGAGUCCUCAGAUCUGAGCCUGCUAAAUUAAUGUUUAAAGUAAAAUAACAAGAUUUUAUAAUAUGUUUCUAGCUAGUCAUUUGACAGCUUUCCACAGAUGGUCUGAAGUAUGUAUGAAAAUAUAAUACAAGUAGAAAAUUUCUUGUCUAACUUUACAGAAUUCUUAUGUGCUCUCUCUCGUGCACACCUUCUACAUGUCCUGCAGCAACAGUCUAAAUGUAAUGAUUUCAUGACCACUGGUGGUUUUGGG